CAGCAGCCGCGGGAAUACGCAGGUGGCAAGCGUUGUCCGGAAUUAUUGGGCGUAAAGGGCUCGCAGGCGGUUUCUUAAGUCUGAUGUGAAAGCCCCCGGCUCAACCGGGGAGGGUCAUUGGAAACUGGGAAACUUGAGUGCAGAAGAGGAGAGUGGAAUUCCACGUGUAGCGGUGAAAUGCGUAGAGAUGUGGAGGAACACCAGUGGCGAAGGCGACUCUCUGGUCUGUAACUGACGCUGAGGAGCGAAAGCGUGGGGAGCGAACAGGAUUAGAUACCCCCGUAGUCCCUGUCUCUUAUAA
rnacentral:rRNA from 1 species